rnacentral:rRNA from 1 species
CCCUAUUAUUUUAGGAUGUUAAGGUUUGUGCCGGAGUAGUAUUAGUUAUGUUCUUGAAACUUAAAGAAUUUGGCGGUAUCUCAUUCCGUUCAGAGGAAUCUGUCUCGUUAUCGAUAGUCCACGUUGGACCUUACUUAGUUGAAUUUUGGUUUGUAUACCGCCGUUUAUUGAUUAUCUUUUUAGAGUUGUAUAUUAAUUUUCUAUUUUCUUUAUUAUGAUGUAUUUCAGGUCAAGGUGCAGCUUGUUUCUAAGUGGGAAUGAUGGAUUACAUUGUUAUGUGUUUAUGGAUUGUUGAUUUUAAUAUUGACAUGAAAUUGGAUUUGGUUGUAAUAUUUUGUAGAUUGUUAUUAUGAUAAUUGGUUCUGAGAUAUGUACACAUCGCCCGUCGCUCUCGUUUUUAUUAUAAUGAGAUAAGUC